CCGGGACGCUCGCUGUCCUCUGUCGUUCACUUCGCGUCCGCUUUGACAGCUCGUGAAGGCGCCGCCGCUCCGAGGGAGUUCCCAGCUAGUUCCGGGGGAAAGCUUCUGGGGCCACGCCCCCUCCCGCCUCUCUCUCUCUCUCUCUCUCUCUCUCUUUCGCUCGCUCUCUCGCACGCGCGGACCGGCUUCGCCAGUUCAGCCUCACUCUGGGACGCGCUGGGGGGAUCCGAUGACGUCACCGACAGGCUCCGUUUUUUUCUAUUCUGGGAAGUGGUGCCAGGAAUAACCCUGUCUGUCUCCACAUCACAGGCUGCCUCUGAACUCUGGCUUUAUCCAAAAAAACUUCGCAGCGGGUUUCCACCCACGAACAGCCCUGCCUUCCUUUCAGCGGGCGAUAAGCACUUUUAUCGGAUCCGCAGCGCGGACAAGAGGAUCCUCUCAAUUUUUGUGGGGGGCUAGAUGUGGGCAGCCUCGUGCCUGUCAUCUGUCACUUCGCUGUGAGUUUAGCUCGUAAGAGGAAGGCUGACAGUGUGCGCGCCUGGAUCAUGCAGCCGGCUGAGCACGAAAGCGCGUAACGCAAAUGUGACGAAAUGGGUCAGCCAAGCGAGGAUGAGCUCUGAUUAAUUUGGGACUGCCGGCAGCGGACAGAUGUCAGAGGUGGGAAUGACAUCACACCUGAGUCGAACAUGUUCCAGUAAAACAUUUAGAAAAACGAUACAGACGCCUCCAGGAAAACAUAUGUUGUGCUCGUUCUUUUGGAUUACAGACAACUACUGAACAACACAUUAUGCGGUAUUUUGCACAUCCAACCACUGUAGAAAUGUGUCCACA